UGGCAGGGUAACGGCCUACCAAAGCGACGAUCCAUAGCCGGCCUGAGAGGGUGGACGGCCACAUUGGGACUGAGACACGGCCCAGACUCCUACGGGAGGCAGCAGUGGGGAAUAUUGCACAAUGGGGGAAACCCUGAUGCAGCGACGCCGCGUGAAGGAAGAAGUAUUUCGGUAUGUAAAGCUCUAUCAGCAGGGAAGAAAUUGACGGUACCUGACUAAGAAGCACCGGCUAAAUAC
rnacentral:rRNA from 1 species